GACGAACGCUGGCGGCGUGCUUAACACAUGCAAGUCGAACGGAAAGGCCCUGCUUGCAGGGUACUCGAGUGGCGAACGGGUGAGUAACACGUGGGUGAUCUGCCCUGCACUUCGGGAUAAGCCUGGGAAACUGGGUCUAAUAUCGGGUAGGAGCCAUUUUUAGGGUGAUGGUUGGAAGGUUUUUUCGGUGUAGGGUGAGCUCGCGGCCUAUCAGUCUGUUGGUGGGGUAAUGGGCUACCAAGGGGGCGACGGGUAGCCGGCCUGGGAGGGUGGACGGCCAAAUUGGGACUGGGAUACGGCCCAGACUCCUACGGGAGGCAGGAGGGGGGAAUAUUGCACAAUGGGCGGAAGCCUGAUGCAGCGACGCCGCGUGGGGGAUGACGGCCUUCGGGUUGUAAACCCCUUUCGCUAGGGACGAAGCUUUUUGUGACGGUACCUAGAUAAGAAGCACCGGCUAACUACGUG
rnacentral:rRNA from 1 species